AGCUUUGCACAUGGCAGUAUCAUAGCCAAUGAGGUUUGUCUGAGGCACGAUUAUUGCUAAUUGAAAGAAGGAACCCCAUAGCAGGUUUUCCCCAGUCAAGUGCACUAGUCGAGGGGUUUACACAGCACUUGGGUCGCUGCUAUUGCUCCAAACUUAUGCUAAGUAGGAUUUGGAAAAGUAAUAAUGCU
rnacentral:snRNA from 1 species